AAAUGGUUGUGGUUGGCUGAGAUCUGCAAAGGCAUUGAGGAAAGGCCCAGAAAAGUGGGCGUGACAUUCUAAUAGGAAGACAACCCAGGGAGAGAAAGGAGGUGUUUGAGGAGGAGGCAAAGCAGAGAAAAGCCACAGAGCUGUGAGACAGGGUGGUUGGGUGCUAGGAAAUGGAGGGCAGUGAAUGGACCACCAGCAACGAAUGUCACAAGUCCCAGCCUGUGAGAAGACACAUCUAAGAGGCCACUGAGGAGUAAAGAGCUGCCAUGAGGGGAAUGGGCUUCCUUGCCAUGUGCUUCUCCAUGAUGGACUGUGUUGCUGCUGGAUCAAGGACACUGGGGCUAUGUGACCAUGAACUGAAACCUCUGGAACCAAAAGGAGAGAAGGCUCAGUUUGUAAUGUUGAAGUUCAGUCCAAGGAUCUCAAGCUGAUCUGGGCUGUUUUUCUCCAGAACUUAAACAAAAGGCCCUGAGACAAUCUUGCACUGGCUCCUAUCUCUCAAGGUAAUCUUCAAAAAAAAAAAAAAAGUAAGUAGUAUGGAAGGCUGAUCUUUACUGGUAUGUGGCCAAUUCUUUAUUAUUAGGAGAUUCAAG
rnacentral:lncRNA from 1 species